GGGAGUCCUGGCUGCAACAUCUGUCACCCCAUCUAUCGCCAGGGUUUGAUUAAACUGAUCUGGCUGGGUGGGCAGGUGUCCCCUCCACCAUUCCUCUCCAUGUGCAUCCCUCCCGGAGUUGUAUGCUGGGUCAAAGAGGAUGGUCUUCCCCCUCAUAGAGGAGGACCAUUCUUCUGUUAAGGGUGUAUGAGUAGCUGUGCUCCCUGCUGGUAUCUCCAAACAAGCUCUCAAAUGUGAGCUUUGUGAGACACCCACAGGAUGGCUUAGAGGAUUUAAUGAAAUACGGAAUGUGAAAACUGUACUUU
rnacentral:snRNA from 1 species